rnacentral:rRNA from 1 species
GUAGAUGGCAAGCGUUGUCCGGAAUUAUUGGGCGUAAAGCGCGCGCAGGCGGUUCUUUAAGUCUGAUGUGAAAGCCCACGGCUCAACCGUGGAGGGUCAUUGGAAACUGGAGAACUUGAGUACAGAAGAGGAAAGCGGAAUUCCACGUGUAGCGGUGAAAUGCGUAGAGAUGUGGAGGAACACCAGUGGCGAAGGCGGCUUUCUGGUCUGUAACUGACGCUGAGGCGCGAAAGCGUGGGGAGCAAACAGGAUUAGAUACCCUGGUAGUCCACGCCGUAAACGAUGAGUGCUAAGUGUUAGGGGGGUUUCCGCCCCCCUUAGUGCUGCAGCUAACGCAUUAAGCACUCCGCCUGGGAGUACGGCCGCAAGGCUG